CGCGCAGGCGGAUCUGCCAGUCUGUCUUAAAAGUUCGGGGCUUAACCCCGUGAUGGGAUGGAAACUACAGAUCUAGAGUAUCGGAGAGGAAAGUGGAAUUCCUAGUGUAGCGGUGAAAUGCGUAGAUAUUAGGAAGAACACCAGUGGCGAAGGCGACUUUCUGGACGAAAACUGACGCUGAGGCGCGAAAGCCAGGGGAGCGAACG
rnacentral:rRNA from 2 species